rnacentral:tRNA from 1 species
GGUUGUAGCUCAACUGGUAGAGCACCGGUCUCCAAAACCGGGGGUUGGGGGUUCAAGUCCCUCCAGCC